rnacentral:rRNA from 1 species
CAGUCGCCGCGGUAAUACGUAGGGUGCAAGCGUUAAUCGGAAUUACUGGGCGUAAAGCGUGCGCAGGCGGUUAUAUAAGUCAGAUGUGAAAUCCCCGGGCUCAACCUGGGAACUGCAUUUGAGACUGUAUGGCUAGAGUGUGUCAGAGGGGGGUAGAAUUCCACGUGUAGCAGUGAAACGCGUAGAUAUGUGGAGGAAUACCGAUGGCGAAGGCAGCCCCCUGGGAUAACACUGACGCUCAUGCACGAAAGCGCGGGGAGCAAACAGGAUUAGAUACCCCAGUAGUCCCUGUCUCUUAUAC